ACCGAUCUGUAUCCAGUCAGAAGCUGGCACAGGUGCUGCAUGGCUGUCGUCAGCUCGUGCCGUGAGGUGUUAGGUUAAGUCCUGCAACGAGCGCAACCCUCGUCGCUAGUUAAAUUUUUCUAGCGAUACUGCCCGUAAAACGAGGAGGAAGGUGAGGAUGACGUCAAGUCAGCAUGGCCCUUACGCCUUGGGCUACACACACGCUACAAUGGGUUAUACAACGGGUUGCGAAAGAGCGAUCUGGAGCUAAUCCCUAAAAUCACCCUCAGUUCGGAUUGCAGGCUGAAACUGCCUGCAUGAAGUUGGAGUUGCUAGUAACCGCAGGUCAGCACACUGCGGUGAAUACGUUCUCGGGCCUU
rnacentral:rRNA from 1 species